UUCCAAUGUUACGUUUGUCACUUAAGAAUAUUUUACUUUCUUAGUCAUGGAAGAGCGUAUUCUUGUUUAUUGACAAAACUUCCACCAUUCAGUUGGCAUCAGAUUCUGACCUUCACAAACAAUAUUC
ensembl:snoRNA Gm24338 small nucleolar RNA SNORA24